GUGCUCGCUUCAGCAACACAUAUACUGAAAUUAGUAUGGUAUAGAGAUUAGCAUGGCCCCUGUGCAAGGAUGUCAUGAAAAUAUGUGAAGCAUUUUGUAUUUUU